rnacentral:rRNA from 1 species
UACGGGGGAGCAAGCGUUGUUCGGAUUUACUGGGCGUAAAGGGCGCGUAGGCGGCCACCGCAAGUCAGUUGUGAAAUCUCUGGGCUUAACCCAGAAAGGUCAACUGAUACUGCGGGGCUAGAGUGCAGAAGGGGCAACUGGAAUUCUCGGUGUAGCGGUGAAAUGCGUAGAGAUGUGGAGGAACACCGAUGGCGAAGGCAGCCCCCUGGGUUAACACUGACGCUCAGGCACGAAGCGUGGGGAGCAAACAGG